rnacentral:rRNA from 1 species
UUCCUACGGGAGGCAGCAGUGGGGAAUAUUGCACAAUGGGCGAAAGCCUGAUGCAGCAACGCCGCCUGAGGGACGACGGCCUUCGGGUUGUAAACCUCUUUUAGCAGGGAGAAGCGAAAGUGACGGUACCUGCAGNAAAAGCGCCGGCUAACUACGUGCCAGCAGCCGCGGUAAUACGUAGGGCGCAAGCGUUAUCCGGAAUUAUUGGGCGUAAAGAGCUCGUAGGCGGUUUGUCGCGUCUGCUGUGAAACCCCGAGGCUCAACCUCGGGCCUGCAGUGGGUACGGGCAGACUAGAGUGCGGUAGGGGAGAUUGGAAUUCCUGGUGUAGCGGUGGAAUGCGCAGAUAUCAGGAGGAACACCGAUGGCGAAGGCAGAUCUCUGGGCCGUAACUGACGCUGAGGAGCGAAAGGGUGGGGAGCAAACAGGCUUAGAUACCCUGGUAGUCCACCCCGUAAACGUUGGGAACUAGUUGUGGGGUCCAUUCCACGGAUUCCGUGACGCAGCUAACGCAUUAAGUUCCCCGCCUGGGGAGUACGGCCGCAAGGCUAAAACUCAAAGGAAUUGACGGGGACCCGCACAAGCGGCGGAGCAUGCGGAUUAAUUCGAUGCAACGCGAAGAACCUUACCAAGGCUUGACAUAUACGAGAACGGGCCAGAAAUGGUCAACUCUUUGGACACUCGUAAACAGGUGGUGCAUGGUUGUCGUCAGCUCGUGUCGUGAGAUGUUGGGUUAAGUCCCGCAACGAGCGCAACCCUCGUUCUAUGUUGCCAGCACGUAAUGGUGGGAACUCAUGGAAUACUGCCGGGGUCAACUCGGAGGAAGGUGGGGAUGACGUCAAAUCAUCAUGCCCCUUAUGUCUUGGGCUUCACGCNUGCUACAAUGGCCGGUACAAAGGGCUGCAAUACCGCAAGGUGGAGCGAAUCCCAAAAAGCCGGUCCCAGUUCGGAUUGAGGUCUGCAACUCGACCUCAUGAAGUCGGAGUCGCUAGUAAUCGCAGAUCAGCAACGCUGCGGUGAAUACGUUCCCGGGUCUUGUACACACCGCCCGUCAAGUCAUGAAAGUCGGUAACACCUGAAGCCGGUGGCCCAACCCUUGUGGAGGGAGCC